rnacentral:rRNA from 1 species
AGAGUUUGAUCCUGGCUCAGGAUGAACGCUGGCGGCGUGCCUAAUACAUGCAAGUCGAGCGAACAGAUAAGGAGCUUGCUCCUUUGACGUUAGCGGCGGACGGGUGAGUAACACGUGGGUAACCUACCUAUAAGACUGGAAUAACUUCGGGAAACCGAAGCUAAUGCCGGAUAACAUGUAGAACCGCAUGGUUCUACAGUGAAAGAUGGCUUUGCUAUCACUUAUAGAUGGACCCGCGCCGUAUUAGCUAGUUGGUAAGGUAACGGCUUACCAAGGCAACGAUACGUAGCCGACCUGAGAGGGUGAUCGGCCACACUGGAACUGAGACACGGUCCAGACUCCUACGGGAGGCAGCAGUAGGGAAUCUUCCGCAAUGGGCGAAAGCCUGACGGAGCAACGCCGCGUGAGUGAUGAAGGUCUUCGGAUCGUAAAGCUCUGUUAUUAGGGAAGAACAAGUGCGUAAGUAACUGUGCGCACCUUGACGGUACCUAAUCAGAAAGCCACGGCUAACUACGUGCCAGCAGCCGCGGUAAUACGUAGGUGGCAAGCGUUAUCCGGAAUUAUUGGGCGUAAAGCGCGCGUAGGCGGUUUCUUAAGUCUGAUGUGAAAGCCCACGGCUCAACCGUGGAGGGUCAUUGGAAACUGGGAGACUUGAGUGCAGAAGAGGAAAGUGGAAUUCCAUGUGUAGCGGUGAAAUGCGCAGAGAUAUGGAGGAACACCAGUGGCGAAGGCGACUUUCUGGUCUGUAACUGACGCUGAUGUGCGAAAGCGUGGGGAUCAAACAGGAUUAGAUACCCUGGUAGUCCACGCCGUAAACGAUGAGUGCUAAGUGUUAGGGGGUUUCCGCCCCUUAGUGCUGCAGCUAACGCAUUAAGCACUCCGCCUGGGGAGUACGACCGCAAGGUUGA